rnacentral:rRNA from 1 species
UACAGAGGUCUCAAGCGUUGUUCGGAUUCAUUGGGCGUAAAGGGUGCGUAGGCGGCGCGGUAAGUCGGGUGUGAAAUCUCGGGGCUUAACUCCGAAACUGCAUUCGAUACUGCCGUGCUUGAGGACUGGAGAGGAGACUGGAAUUUACGGUGUAGCGGUGAAAUGCGUAGAUAUCGUAAGGAAGACCAGUGGCGAAGGCGGGUCUCUGGACAGUUCCUGACGCUGAGGCACGAAAGCCAGGGGAGCGAACGGG